UACAGAGGGUGCAAGCGUUAAUCGGAAUUACUGGGCGUAAAGCGUGCGUAGACGGUUACAUAAGUCGGGUGUGAAAGCCCCGGGCUCAACCUGGGAAUUGCAUUCGAGACUGCGUAGCUAGGGUGCGGAAGAGGGAAGCGGAAUUUCCGGUGUAGCGGUGAAAUGCGUAGAUAUCGGAAAGAACACCAACGGCGAAAGCACUCUGCUGGGCCGACACUGACACUGAGAGACGAAAGCUAGGGGAGCGAAUGGG
rnacentral:rRNA from 1 species